rnacentral:lncRNA from 1 species
UCGCAUACGGAAUUGACCACAUGGUAAAGAGAGAACGACGCGACAACUCAAUAACGUGUUAAACAAAGAUCAAGCUGCGGUGUUUUUCAUUGAAAGAGACGAGUAAACAAUUCCAGCCUAUAGAAAAACAAGAGCAUCAACCCAAGUCGAGGUUAUUCGAAGUGAAAUUCUAGUGUAGACGGAGCUAAAAUUGUUGUUUUAUUGUGUUUAUUUAAUUAAUUUAAGCUUGGACUAGUAUUAAUUAAAGAUGAGUGUAGUGCAAAAUAUUAUGUUGCUAAAAAUUGCAAAUAAAUUGACAUACGAGGAGCUUCUGAAUUUUAAAGCAGCCGGGCGUCCGAAACCAACUAUGCCAAUCAAACAGACUACGUUGGACAAAACUAGAGAAGU